rnacentral:rRNA from 1 species
UACGGAGGGUGCGAGCGUUAAUCGGAAUAACUGGGCGUAAAGGGCACGCAGGCGGUCUUUUAAGUGAGAUGUAAAAUCCCAGGGCUUAACCUGGGAAUAGCAUUUCAGACUGGGAGUCUAGAGUGCUUUAGAGAGGGGUAGAAUUCCACGUGUAGCGGUGAAAUGCGUAGAGAUGUGGAGGAAUACCGAAGGCGAAGGCAGCCCCUUGGGAAUGUACUGACGCUCAUGUGCGAAAGCGUGGGGAGCAAACAGG